ACUCACAGUAUUGGAGUCUGGGAACAUCUUCUCUGUGUGUGGAUUUUUGUAAAUAGGAUGGGUCCACAUAUAAAGAGUGGCUUUGAUUCGGGGAUUAUAUUGAUUUGGGGAUUAUAUUGAUUUGGUAACAUUAAAUGGGAGUUAAAAAAAAUCCAAAGGCUCUGUAGUGAAUUGUAAAGACUUUAAUGACUUGUGCUGUGUAAUGAACUAAAACCACUGUAAUUUUGUACCAUAUGUGCCUUUCCAUCCAAUGACCAACAGCUUCUCAAUAAAGCAGACGAUUCCUGCUCA